UACAGCUUUUGCCUUCCCAGCUCAUACUCAGUGCUGGGCUGGUCCUGCAAUCUGCGUUCUUGGUUUUGAAGAGCUUCUUUAUUAGACUUACACUGUUUUUAAAGCUUCGUUAUUUGACCCUGUGGCAGAAAACUAUGGAAUCCAAGCUGUGGACCCUUUAUUCAGCCACUGUGUACCAGGAACAUGCUUACCCUAUCAGGCACACGUUCUGCCUCCAAGAAGCUGGAAGUGGGGCCACCGGGAUGGUGUUUGCCCUUCCCUGCCCUGCUGCACGUGGUAGAAACAGAAGCGUGUCAGUACAGCUGAGCCCUCCUGAUCCCUCUUGGCUGCACAGACCCGGCUCCACUUCUGUCCUUCUUUUACUGGAGAACUGAUGUCAGCCCGGCUGGAUUACAGCCCGGCGACCGUUCUGUUGCUAAUGAAUUGGCAGGGAGAACAAAACACUGCAGCGCUCCUGGAACGAUUUUGUCAUCCAUUUUUGGAGCACAAAAAACUUCGGGAUUUGGAAAAGAACAAAUGUCAUCUGAGUUGGUUUAUUUGCCUCAGGAUGUCAGGAUCCCCAGUUCACCACACCCUGAAUGUUUAUCUGAUUACAAGAACUCAUGCAAAUGACAAAAGGUUAAAGGGAAAAACUCCACCCUUGCAGCAUUUCCCUACAUGUUUCCCGCCCUCCAGGAUUGGCCGGCCGGCCUGGCUCAGGAAAAUUCUUAUAUUUACAGUCUUGUGAAUAGAGGGGCUAGGCUUGGCAGCUUCAAAAGGCUGAGGGAAUCUUGCAAAGUUGAGCUUGAAAGAGCCCUCAAGGAGCAUUAAGGUCCACAUUCUCCACUGAAGAUGAGAAACUAAAGCCAGAGAGAUGGCCUGGUGUUAUGGUUGAAUUGUGUCUCCCCAAAAUUCAUUUAUUGACAUCCUAAUGCCCAGAAUCUCAGAAUGUAACCUUAUUUGAAGACAGGGUCUUUACAAGGUAUAAGUUAAAGUUAGGUUAUCGGGGUGCGUCCUAAUUCAGUAUGACUGGCGUCCUUAGAAGAAGGAGAAAUAUGGACAGAGAGACACAUAUACAGGAAGAAUGCCAUGUGAACACGAAGACGGCCAUCUAAAGCCAAGGAGAGAGGCUGGGAACAGAGCCUCCCCUCACAGCUCUCAGAAGGAAACAGCCCUGCUGACAGUUUGAUUUCGGACUUCUCGUUUCCAGAACGGUGAUCAAAACAUUUUGGAACCUAAAAGUAAAUAAGGAAACUCUGAAGGUAAAUAUGUCCAAACAGCUUUACUAAGAAAAAAACCUGAAUGUAUGGGUUUCAAAGACAAUAUACUCCAGAGCCAGCAACUAAAGGGACCACUCUCUAAACCCCUGAACGGUGCUGAUGAAAUUCCUCAACAGUGAUCUGCUCAGCUGGAAGAGCGCUGUGUUUGUGUCCGGAAAGAGAGGCCUAAGAAGUGGCUCCUCAUAAUCCAUGACUGGGGCGUCCUGGAGAAAGUUGGUUCUGAUUAGAGGGGAUUUCAAAUUUACAUGUGGCGAAAAACAAUCUCCUAGGAACUGAUAAGUGCAAAGGACUUCAUUUUAAACAAACAGGAAAGAUAAGGAAGCAGAAGUUUCAUUUCCAUUUUGACUAGACUUACACAACCACGUGAGAACCCAGAGUUCCUUUGUUGCAUAAGUGGCAAAUCUGUUUAACCUUUCUGGGCGCCCAGCUUCUCCAUAUGGAAAGCAGGUAUGGAAGUUUUGACUCAUCUUUCAGGGUCACUUUUGAACAAAAGGCGAAUAGUAGAAAAGCCUUCUGAAAACAAAAGAGAACACAUCAAUCACUGAGGGAAAACCAGGACAUGACAAUAUAAAUGAUCCGCUGCCUAAGAAAGUCCUGAAUCCAAUACAGACGAUCAUCCCAGUUCUUUUUUACGGCCAGAGAGGCCUCUGAAGCUCAUUAGUGUCUGGAAUUACUUCAUACACUGGGCUGGAAAUUUCAAAGGAAAAUUUCAAGAAAUUUUAAAGGAACCUUCCAAAUCCACUAGCUGGUUUGCUCUUUGCUGGAUGUUAACUGGACCAUUUACUUUUUAAAAUCAGGCUAAAUUUUGCCCUGGCUGAGCCAAAUUCUGCCUCUAUCGCUGGGCAAUUCUUGCUGUCGUGAAUGUAGCUCUGUGUGUGGACGGGAGAAGAGAAUAUGGCCAUUGUCCUACUAGAUGCAAAUUAUGGCCCUGAUUCAACAAAAAAAUCUCUGUCCUCCAUGCAUGGAAAAUACAAAGAGACUGAAGCCAGACUGAUAUUUUGUGACAUGGCAUCCUGCUCCUGAAGAAAUUCAUGUUGUGGUUUGUGAUUAGGAAGCCAAAAAAAAAAAGAGAUUCUGAAACUGACAUGAUUUGUAAUUUUUCUCAGUUUCAAGGCCCGUGCUAAUGAUAAAAACCUCUAUUAAAAUUACUCAGAGAGCAUAAACUGAUGGCUUUUUGAGAGAGAGAAAAGAUUUUGAAAGAAGAAAUUUUUAUUUGUAUUACGUGGCUGUACAUGACAAAGUUGAUGCUUCAUUCCAUCAUUCUCUCUGGACCUUGGGGAAACCAAUACCCAAUAAAAAGCAGUAUCAAUAAUAAA